rnacentral:rRNA from 1 species
AUGAGUCGACCUGAUGGGAUCGACAUCCCCGACGGCAAGUUCUACCUUGGAGAUGCUGGCUAUGCAUGUCGGCCGGGUAUUCUUCCACCCUUCAGUAAAACCAGGUACCAUCUCAAUGAGUUCUCUGGUAGGAACUACCCUAGAACUGCAUAGGAGUUGUUUAAUCUCAGACACUCUAGCCUUAGAGUAACUGUUGAGAGGGCAUUUGGAGCUAUGAAGAAUAGGUUUAAAAUCCUGGAUCAGAAGCCAUUCCACCCAUACUCCACUCAGGUUAAGCUAGUUCUUGCUUGUUGCAUUCUGCAUAACUGGAUCCUCCAAUUGGGCUUUGAUGAACACGUGCCUGAGGAGGAAGAGGUCGAGCUUGACGAUGUUGUUAGCUUCGGCCAUGGUGUGGAGGCAUUUGACAAUGACGCUUGGAAGAACAAAAGGUUGAAGUGGGCAGAGGCGAUGUGGCUUAACAGAGGUCAGUGCAGGAAUGAAGAAGAUGGAAGAAGAAGAAGAAGAAGCUUAACAGAGGUCAGUGCAGGAAUGAAGGAGAUGGAAGAAGAAGAAGCAGAAGCACCAGCAGAAGCAGAAGCAGAAGAAGAGGAAGAGGAAGAUCUGGUAGCAGCGACACCGAUGAACUAUCCCCUAUUUAGCCAACGGCUCUUAAUAAUUUGA